CAGUCGCCGCGGGAAUACGGAGGGAGCUAGCGUUGUUCGGAAUCACUGGGCGUAAAGCGCACGUAGGCGGCUAUUCAAGUCAGGGGUGAAAGCCCGGGGCUCAACCCCGGAACUGCCUUUGAAACUAGAUAGCUUGAAUCUUGGAGAGGCGAGUGGAAUUCCGAGUGUAGAGGUGAAAUUCGUAGAUAUUGGGAAGAACACCAGUGGCGAAGGCGGCUCACUGGACCGACACUGACGCUGAGGCGCGAAAGCGUGGGGAGCAAGCGGGAUUUGAGACCCCAGAGUCCCUGUCUCUUAUACA
rnacentral:rRNA from 1 species